UACGUAGGGCGCAAGCGUUAUCCGGAAUUAUUGGGCGUAAAGAGCUCGUAGGCGGUUUGUCGCGUCUGCCGUGAAAGUCCGGGGCUCAACUCCGGAUCUGCGGUGGGUACGGGCAGACUAGAGUGUGGUAGGGGAGACUGGAAUUCCUGGUGUAGCGGUGAAAUGCGCAGAUAUCAGGAGGAACACCGAUGGCGAAGGCAGGUCUCUGGGCCACUACUGACGCUGAGGAGCGAAAAGCGUGGGGGAGCGAACAGG
rnacentral:rRNA from 1 species